UGGGGAAUCUUCCGCAAUGGACGAAAGUCUGACGGAGCAACGCCGCGUGAGUGAAGACGGCCUUCGGGUUGUAAAGCUCUGUGAUCCGGGACGAAAGAGCCUGAGGUAAAUAGCCUAAGGAAGUGACGGUACCGGAAAAGCAAGCCACGGCUAACUACGUGCCAGCAGCCGCGGUAAUACGUAGGUGGCAAGCGUUGUCCGGAAUUAUUGGGCGUAAAGCGCGCGCAGGCGGCUUCCUAAGUCCAUCUUAAAAGUGCGGGGCGUAACCCCGGGAUGGGAUGGAAACUGGGAAGGUGGAGGAUAGGAGAGGAAAGUGGAAGUCCGAGGGGAGGGGUGAAAUGCGGAGAGAUUAGGAAGAACACCGGGGGCGAAGGCGACGUUCUGGGCGAAAACUGACGCUGAGGCGCGAAAGCGUGGGGAGCAAACAGG
rnacentral:rRNA from 1 species